UACGGAGGGUGCUAGCGUUAUUCGGAUUUACUGGGCGUAAAGCGCAUGUAGGCGGAACGGAAAGUUAGGAGUGAAAUCCCGGGGCUUAACCUCGGAACUGCUUCUAAAACUAUCGUUCUUGAGUAAGGUAGGGGACAUCGGAAUUUCUAGUGUAGAGGUGAAAUUCGUAGAUACUAGAAGGAACACCGGAGGCGAAAGCGGAUGUCUAGGCCUUUACUGACGCUGAGAUGCGAAAGCGUGGGGAGCAAACAGG
rnacentral:rRNA from 1 species